rnacentral:rRNA from 1 species
CGCGUAGGCGGAUUGGAAAGUUGGGGGUGAAAUCCCGGGGCUCAACCCCGGAACGGCCUCCAAAACUCCCAGUCUUGAGUUCGAGAGAGGUGAGUGGAAUUCCGAGUGUAGAGGUGAAAUUCGUAGAUAUUCGGAGGAAUACCAGUGGCGAAGGCGGCUCACUGGCUCGAUACUGACGCUGAGGUGCGAAAGUGUGGGGAGCAAACA